rnacentral:rRNA from 1 species
AUGAACGCUGGCGGCGUGCCUAAUACAUGCAAGUCGGGCGAACGGACGAGAAGCUUGCUUCUCUGAUGUUAGCGGCGGACGGGUGAGUAACACGUGGAUAACCUACCUAUAAGACUGGGAUAACUUCGGGAAACCGGAGCUAAUACCGGAUAAUAUUUUGAACCGCAUGGUUCAAAAGUGAAAGACGGUCUUGCUGUCACUUAUAGAUGGAUCCGCGCUGCAUUAGCUAGUUGGUAAGGUAACGGCUUACCAAGGCAACGAUGCAUAGCCGACCUGAGAGGGUGAUCGGCCACACUGGAACUGAGACACGGUCCAGACUCCUACGGGAGGCAGCAGUAGGGAAUCUUCCGCAGUGGGCGAAAGCCUGACGGAGCAACGCCGCGUGAGUGAUGAAGGUCUUCGGAUCGUAAAACUCUGUUAUUAGGGAAGAACAUAUGUGUAAGUAACUGUGCACAUCUUGACGGUACCUAAUCAGAAAGCCACGGCUAACUACGU